rnacentral:tRNA from 1 species
AAAACAUUAGUAAACUUAAUUACACCCCCUUGUCAAGGGGGAAUUGCAGGUUAAACUCCUGCAUGUUUAG